rnacentral:rRNA from 1 species
AUUGAACGCUGGCGGCAUGCUUUACACAUGCAAGUCGAACGGUAACAGGCCUCCGGGUGCUGACGAGUGGCGCAGGGGUGAGUAAUGCAUCUGAACGUGUCCAGAGGAGGGGGAUAUCGCAUCGAAAGCUGUGCUAAAAUCGCAUGUGCUCUGAGGAUGAAAGCGGGGGACCAGGCAGCACUGUUUGGCCUCGCGCCUUUGGAGGGGCCGAUGUCGGAUUAGUUAGUUGGUGGGGUAAAGGCCUACCAAGCCGACGAUCUGUAGCUGGUCUGAGAGGACGAUCAGCCACACUGGAACUGAGACACGGCCCAGACUCCUACGGGAGGCAGCAGUGGGGAAUUUUGGACAAUGGGCGCAAGCCUGAUCCAGCAAUGCCGCGUGCGGGAAGAAGGCCUUCGGGUUGUAAACCGCUUUUGUACGGGACGAAAAGGCGUUGGCUAAUACCUGGGGCUGAUGACGUUACCAAAAGAAUAAGCACCGGCUAACUACGUG